CUCCUCCGGCUAGUUGCCAUACAGAGGCUAUAUUACCAAGGCCCGCAAAGACAAGUUCGGCUCCCCAAGGAGCGUCAUAACCCGCUCUACGGACCAAGAGUAAGUGAAUUUGGGAAGAACGAAGAUAUGUUAUAGUGAAAGACAGAAGAAGUCGAGUUAGAAAGAUAGCAUAGAGAUAGCGGACAGGAUUGCACACGAUAUUAGAAGGUGCAAUACGUUACUAUACACAUAAUUGGCUUAAGCCAAAUAAUUUACAUAUGACUAAACAAGAGAAAAAUUACCUAUGGCAAAAGUUUAUUCAGACUUUAUUUCAAUCAACGACAGUAAGACCUGAUAAAUUUAGAAGUAAACAAAUAUAAGUAAAGUUAUUGUCCUACUAGGUGAUGAUCAUGAUGAUUGUGAUGAUGAUAUGAUAUACAUGAUAAUUAUGAGCAUAUGUAAUUUAGAUAAUGAUCAUCAUAUUGUGAUGUUGGUUUACUUUCAUUAUUUUAUAGAAAUGUAUAUUAUCACAAAUUUGUAUAUUUAAAUUCAGAAACUGACACUCCACUGUCACCGAAAAAGAAAAAAAAAGAAUGUCAUAAAUAAUAAAAAAAGUCACUUGCUCCAGCCCGUGCUAUUCCUCCUUUAACAUUUUUAUGUAUUGAAAAUAUGACUUCUUCAGAUCAUUUUUAAAAAAUAACUUUUUAAAACAAGGCUCUGUAUAAAAAUGUAUUUUUAUACUUUUUUCAUUUGAAUAUUCUUUUUUAUUUUUGUAACUGAAUUCCAAAUUGUUCUGAAACAAUCUUUUAGUUAGUUUAUGUAAAUAAGAUACAAAUCUGGAUCAAAAUUUAUCAAGUUAAAUUUUGAUGCAUAUUUGUGUUAAUUUCGAUGCAUACAAGUGCUAAUCAGUUGCUAGAUGAAUUAAAGCUCUCAUAGCUCUCUAAAUCAGUAUUACAUCAUCAGUUGCAUCUAAUGCUAAAAUUGAAGCACAUAGUAAGCAUUAGUAAACUGAAUUUAACUGUUUCAUUAUUGUUAAUUUUUUGGUAUUUUAGUUUUUGGGAUCUUAAGUGACAUCCAAUGGAUGUUUAUCUGUGAGAUGGUUUCUUGCCAAUGUGAGCAAAAAAAAUACUUUAUUGUAUUGGUUAGUAGCAUUCUCGCAAUUUACUCUUGGAGUUAUUUUUAUAUAAUUUUUUUUUUCGAUAAUAAUAUGAACUUGUCUUAUGUUUAAAUAUUGUUUUAAAUUUUAUAACUAGUGUUAUUUUAUUAAAUGCAAAAGGGUUGAGGUGCAGAAUUUUUAAAAAAAUGGUAUUUUUUUAAUUACUCUAACGUUUAUAUAUAUGUGUGUAAUGUAAAUUUUAGUCAUACAUUUUAGUUUAAUUGUUUACUAUUUUUCACACAUAGUUUAACUUUGUGUUAUUUAGAUGCUGUGAAAAUAAAAGUAUUAACCUCAGCAGCAUCAAGAGAAGAGUUUGAACAUUAACUGAAGAUAUAUUUAGUACUGGCAAAUGAUCCCGGGCCAGUGUUGGCAACGAUUGCGGGCCAAUGCUGGCCCAUGGCUAGCGGGCUAGUGCUGGCCCAAUGGCCGUUUCAAUGCAGGCCCGUGAUCGACAGUCGUCAUCGCGCCGUAGUCGCAAGCGGAACUGGGCCAGCAUUGGGCCGCUAGCGGGAGGCUGUCUGGGCAAUAUUAUUUGAGAAAAAUUUUAAAUUUUAAUUUUGCAUGCUUUUUUUAUAUUUUUUCUUAAAUGACCGAAGUUAUAUGGAGACCGAACUUAGGCUAUUUUACGGUAUAUAUUUUAAAUGCACAUUUAUUGUAAAAUCUUAAAUAGUCUUUGGGUAGUACAUGAAUAAGGUUAAAUUUCGCCAAAAAUUGUUCUUCUACUGCCACUUGGAGGUCGCGGAUUAGGUUUUACAUGAAUUAAGUUUAAAUUUAAUCCUUUAAUGAAUUGGGUUACUUAAGUUUUACAUGAUCUAGAAGACAUUAUUUUAUAAUAAGAACAAUUAUUUAAUAACUAUUUUUGUGCCAAAUAUCAGAAAACUUUCAUCAAUUUAUGCAAAACAUUACAACUUUCAAACCGUUUUUUCUCCUUUUCGCAAAAUGUCUUUUACAACCAACCUUUAAAAUAUUGAAUAUAAUAAAAUACUCCGAAAUCUAUGCUAAAGUGGCUUCUUUUUUAUAAUGUUAGCACUAAUAAGAAUUUUAUACCGAUAGUAUCAUUUGGUAUCGGAUUUUCACAAGAUUUUGUAUUUUAUUUUUAUAAACGGUUAGUAAUUUGAAAAGUAAAUUUAUAUAACAACUGGGAUGUAUAUAAUUGACUUAUUUAGUAUAAUAGAAAUUGUUAAAGAUUGUGUAGAAUCGUAUGACAUCUUAUUUAUCAUUUAA
rnacentral:lncRNA from 1 species